CGUAACGCGUAUGCAACCUACCCUUUACUGGAGGAUAGCCCGGGGAAACUCGGAUUAAUACUUCAUAGUACUAUAGAUUGGCAUCAUGAAAUAGUUAAAGAUUUAUUGGUAAAGGAUGGGCAUGCGUACCAUUAGUUAGUUGGUGAGGUAAUGGCUCACCAAGGCUACGAUGUAUAGGGGGUCUGAGAGGAUGAUCCCCCACACUGGUACUGAGACACGGACCAGACUCC
rnacentral:rRNA from 1 species